rnacentral:rRNA from 1 species
UACAGAGGUCUCAAGCGUUGUUCGGAUUCAUUGGGCGUAAAGGGUGUGUAGGUGGCGCCGUAAGUCGGGUGUGAAAUCUCGGGGCUCAACCCCGAAACUGCACUUGAUACUGCCUUGCUAGAGUACUGGAGAGGAGAUUGGAAUUUACGGUGUAGCAGUGAAAUGCGUAGAUAUCGUAAGGAAGACCAGUGGCGAAGGCGAAUCUCUGGACAGUUACUGACACUGAGGCACGAAGGCCAGGGGAGCAAACGGG